AAGGAAUAUUGGUCAAUGGACGCAAGUCUGAACCAGCCAUGCCGCGUGGAGGAUGAAGGUCCUCUGGAUUGUAAACUUCUUUUAUCUGGGACGAAACACUUCUUUUCUAAGAGGCCUGACGGUACCAGAUGAAUAAGCACCGGCUAACUCCGUGCCAGCAGCCGCGGUAAUACGGAGGGUGCAAGCGUUAUCCGGAUUCACUGGGUUUAAAGGGUGCGUAGGUGGGUAUGUAAGUCAGUGGUGAAAUCCCCGAGCUUAACUUGGGAACUGCCAUUGAUACUAUAUAUCUUGAAUACCGUAGAGGUAAGCGGAAUAUGUCAUGUAGCGGUGAAAUGCUUAGAUAUGACAUGGAACACCAAUUGCGAAGGCAGCUUACUAUGCGGUGAUUGACACUGAGGCACGAAAGCGAGGGUAGCAAAC
rnacentral:rRNA from 1 species